UGUAAGCGUAUACCAAAGUUGUUGCAGUUAAAACGCUUGUAGUCGGAAUUUGGCAGUUCCGGAUGUGUGCACGUCGUGUGCGCACUUCGCGGGGAUUGCUUUUGUGGUCUUGCGUAGGAUGAGGCACUUUUAUUAGUGAACGUCCUCACGCAACCACUUUUUACUGUGAGAAAAUCAGAGUGCUCAAGGCAGGCAUUUGCCGUGAAUGUAUUAGCAUGGAAUAAUAGAAUAGGACUUGGUUCUAUUUUGUUGGUUUGUUGGGACUGAGUAAUGAUUAAGAGGGACAGUUGGGGGCAUUUGUAUUUCGGUGCUAGAGGUGAAAUUCUUAGAUUACCGAAAGACAAACUGCUGCGAAAGCGUCUGCCAAGGAUGUUUUCAUUGA
rnacentral:rRNA from 1 species